UUUUUGGAAAUUUUUAUUCUCCUGAUUUUCAAGUGUGGAAACUUUGUAAUACUGACUUUCUUACAAUCUUUCUUGGUGAACAUAUGGGAGACAAUCCAUUGUACUAUUUGCCUAGGUCAGAUCUUUGCAGAGUGCAAAUUCUUAGUACAUUUCUAAAUAAGUGCAAAAUGUUAGUUUGCAUGUUUUUCUAGUACAAGGUUAUCUUAUGAGGUGAGUGUCAGAGGUCAAGAAUUUGGGAAACUCGUUUUGAGCAGCACUAGCAGAACUGGAGGUCCAUGUAAUCUGAUGACAAUAUAUGAUAGAUGCAUAUUUCCUUUGGUGCUCAUCAUGCAGUCAUAGCCAGCUGGAAAGAGGACGCAAUACUUAAGCACAUAGGAUGCUUCGGUGAUUCAGACAGCACUGGUAAGCCUUCUGAUGAAAAUGAUUCCUAGGCAUCCUUAUCUCAUUUGAUGCUGGACUCCAUUACUUGUCAGUAAUUGAUUUGUUGCAAUUCUUGGAGCGUAGCAUUCGACUUCCUUAUCUGUAUGAGCAAGAAGCAGCAAUUAAAUUUCUGACCCAAAGAUAAAAAAUAUGUGUGUGCUUAGCCCAAACUCCCCAUAUUUUAUUCAUUUUAUACUUCUGGCUGCACAAUUGAAUAAGACUGUCCUUCAGUUUUAGUGAAGUUGUGUUGGCCAAGUAAAUCGUUAAAGUUAUAUGCCAUUGAUUCCAUUUUAACUCAUGCUUUCUGACUUUUACAAUGAGGUAAUAAAAAAUACACUUGGUCUCAAACUUAACUUUAAAGAGUUCAACUGGAAAUCUAUCAGAUUGGGAGGAAUAGAUAUCAUUAAAAAUGAGUAAAUACCUUAUUAUUUCCUAAUGUUAUAAUUUAUGGGAUGAUCAUCUUAAUAGUCCAGCAAUCAAGUAUAUUUGUAUUGACUUUGUAGAGGUUAAUCCAUUUGAAGUUGCCAUUAAUCUAACUAUUUUGCACCUGCAAGAAAGGGCAAGUUCAUAUGGUUCAACCUAAUAAACAUCCUAAUAUAUUGAAUUCAGACAGCAACAGGAUACUGUUCUGGACUUAAUUCUGUUCCCCCAAAUUCAUAUGUUGAAGCUCUAGCUUGAGAUGUGACUAUAUUUGGAGACAGGAUAGGGAGAUAACUAAGGUUAAAUGAGCUCAUAAGGGUGGGUCCCCAAUCUGAUACAGGACCCAUAAGGAGGGGAACAGACACCAGAGUUCUUUCUCUCCAUGCAGGCAUAGGGAAAAGACCAGGUAAGACCACAGUGAGGAGGCACUGUCUGCAAACCAGAAAGGGAGGUCUCAUUAAAACCCAACCCUGAUGACAUCUUGAUUUCAGACUUCUAGCCUCCAGAAUUGUGAAAAUACAAAUUUCUAUUUCUUAAGCUACCUAGUGUACCGUAUUUUGUAAUGGUAGUGAAAGCAGACUGAUGUAGGUGCCAAUCACUCAUACUCCUUGAAUCUUCCAUUCCUGGCUCAGUAGCUAAGCUGGAUUAUCAAAUGUUAAAGGGAUAUAUGGGCAUAUAUUCCUCAAGUCUCAUUUCCAGGUCCACUAAACAUUAAAAUGAAAACUUUGUGUCACUCCAGAGCAUUUUAUGCUGCUGUACAAUUACAAAUGGGUAUCUUGAUAAGUAAAGACCUGAUUUAUUCAGAUUGGCUUCCACACACACUGAAAGCCUCAAUUAAGUGGUGUAGUUUUAGUGGUAGCAUCAACACAUGACCUUUUAGAAGAUAGUUAAAUGAAGACUGAUGCUGUAUACCUUAUCAAUAAACUGGGGGUGGUUGUGAGGAUCAGAGAUACAUGAGUAAAACACCUCUAUGCUUCUAGCAUAGAGUAGUCACUUGAUACAUGAUUCUUUUUUUGUUUCAAUAAGACAAAAACAUAUUUCAAGAAAAGCCAGUACUGAGGAUAGAGUGUUCCCAAGCUGUGCACAGGCAGGGGGAUUAAUUCAUAACCAAGGCUGAGGAUAGCUCUGGGCCCUUCCCAACCAGAUAGCCUGUUUGGGAAAUUGAGAGCAGAUUGGAGUGGCUCCUCCCUCUCCCAGGCAAGGGGAUUACAACAGAACUCCACCUGUGGAGACACUGUGGAAAGUGUCUUUUGUCCCCACCUGACCAGACGGGCUGGAGACAACUACUGGAAACAGUGUGGCCCCGUGGCACUCAAGCCAAAAGGCAAGCAAGCAGGGAUGAUAGUCUACAAAGCAAAGUCAGUGGUCUGUUUAGUCAGGGUACUUGGGGUGCCAGUCAGCUUGGGUUAAGACAACAAAGAGCUUCACUGGCUUUAUAGCUGCUUCUCCUGCUACACCUGGACAGGAAAUCUCAUUUGUAGCCCGACUCAUUGCUGAAUACAGCAGUCAGCCCAUCUAACUAGGGACCCCAACCAGAGCACACAGGCAGCUGCAUAGCCUAUUCUACAGGCCUACAUACAGUGUCUCUUAAACAGAGAGACAGCCUCCGGCUUCCUUGUUACACAGAGGAAAACCUGAUCUGCCUAUGGAAUUCAGUGCACACUCUGACCUGAUUCAUGUCCCCAGACAAUGAGCUUUACAGAUUGUGGGUCCUGUCCUGCUGACCUGCCAGUUCAGGGGAGCUAAUUCACAGCCCUAUCUACUACUGAAAAUAGUACCGAGUGCCAGCCAUCUAGUAAUCCUGAACAAAGAAUCCAGGAAAAUGUGGAGCCAUCCUAAACAUACCCUAGAUAGAGAACCAAGCUAGCAGUCUUAUCUAACUAUUCUCAGUCAGUGGCACGAUACCCACCCCCACCUCCAUCCUCAGACUCAAAUUUUGCCUCACUCCAAAAUUGACUAUAACAGCAGGCACCACCUGCCCAAAGACAUUACCAGGAGACACUUAGAAACCCAAACUGAGCUGACUGAUGAAGAACUGUCUCUGUCAAAGCAGACCUGUAAAGUCUGGAAGAGGAGCCCAAUUACUCAAAUGUGCAGAUACCAACAUCAGAAAUCAAGGAUCACAAAAGAUCAGGUAAACAGGGGCAUCUGGGUGGCUCAGUGGUUGAGCGUCUCCCUUUGGCUCAGGUUGUGAUCCCAGGGUCCUGGGAUCGAGUCUUGCAUCAGGCUCCCCAUAGGGAGCCUGCUUCUUCCUCUGCCUAUGUCUCUGCCUCUCUCUUUCUGUUUCUUUCAUGGAUAAAUAAAUAAAAUUUAAGAAAAAAAAUCAGGUAAAUAGGACAACACCAAAUUAAUAAAGCUCCAAUAACUGACCCAAGUAACAGAGAUCUGUAAACUAUCAAAGAAUUCAGAGUAAUUC
rnacentral:lncRNA from 1 species